rnacentral:misc_RNA from 1 species
AGUUCAGAUUCUGGCUCAGAUUGAACGCUGGUGAUGCUUCAAGACAUGCAAGUCGAACGGCAGCACGGACUUCGGUCUGGUGGCGAGUGGCGAACGGGUGAGUAAUGUAUCGGAACGUGCCUAGUAGCGGGGAUAACUACGCGAAAGCGUAGCUAAUACCGCAUACAGCCCUUCGGGGGAAAGCGGGGGACCUUCGGGCUCGCACUAUUAGGAGCGGCCGAUAUCGGAUUAGCUAGUUGGUGGGGUAACGGCUCACCAAGGCGACGAUCCGUAGCUGGUUUGAGAGGACGACCAGCCACACUGGGACUGAGACACGGCCCAGACUCCUACGGAGGCAGCAGUGGGGAAUUUUGGACAAUGGGGGAAACCCUGAUCCAGCCAUCCCGCGUGUGCGAUGAAGGCCUCGGGUUGUAAAGCACUUUUGGCAGGAAAAGAAACGGCGCACGGGAUAAUACCCCGUGCAACUGACGGUACCUGCAGAAUAAGCACCGGCUAACUACGUGCCAGCAGCCGCGGUAAUACGUAGGGUGCAAGCGUUAAUCGGAAUUACUGGUAAAGCGUGCGCAGGCGGUUCGGAAAGAAAGAUGUGAAAUCCCAGAGCUUAACUUUGGAACUGCAUUUUUAACUACCGAGCUAGAGUGUGUCAGAGGAGGUGUGAAUCGCGUGUAUAUGAAAUGCGUAGAUAUGCGGAGGAACACCGGUGGCGAAGGCAGCCUCCUGGGGAUAACACUGACGCUCAUGCACGAAAGCGUGGGGAGCAAACAGGAUUAGAUACCCUGGUAGUCCACGCCCUAAACGAUGUCAACUAGCUGUUGGGGCCUUCGGGCCUUGGUAGCGCAGCUAACGCGUGAAGUUGACCGCCUGGGGAGUACGGUCGCAAGAUUAAAACUCAAAGGAAUUGAUUUGGACCCGCACAAGCGGUGGAUGAUGUGGAUUAAUU